UACGAAGGGGGCUAGCGUUGUUCGGAAUUACUGGGCGUAAAGCGCACGUAGGCGGGCGAUUAAGUCAGGGGUGAAAUCCCGGAGCUCAACUCCGGAACUGCCUUUGAUACUGGUCGUCUAGAGAUCGGAAGAGGUGAGUGGAAUUCCCAGUGUAGAGGUGAAAUUCGUAGAUAUUGGGAAGAACACCAGUGGCGAAGGCGGCCUUCUGGACAGUAACUGACGCUGAGACGCGAAAGCGUGGGGAGCAAACAGG
rnacentral:rRNA from 1 species